AGCGGCGAACGGGUGAGUAACACGUGAGUAAUCUGCCCCUGGCUUUGGGAUAGCCACCGGAAACGGUGAUUAAUACCGGAUACGACAACUUCUCGCAUGGGAUGGUUGUGGAAAGUUUUUCGGCCAGGGAUGUGCUCGCGGCCUAUCAGCUUGAUGGUGAGGUAAUGGCUCACCAUGGCUUCGACGGGUAGCCGGCCUGAGAGG
rnacentral:rRNA from 14 species